CUGCGGCCGGUGCCCCGGUCGGUGCCCCGGUUGUUGCGGCCGGUGCCUCGGUCGGUGCCCCGGCCGGUGCCCCGGUCGUCGCGGGGGCCGCGGAC
rnacentral:tRNA from 1 species